AAAAUUGUCGGAUGAGUUGUGCUUAGGGGUGAAAGGCCAAUCAAGCCGGGAAAUAGCUGGUUCUCCGCGAAAUCUAUUGAGGUAGAUCGUCGCUCGAUUACCGCCGGAGGUAGAGCACCGGAAGGGCUAGGGGGACCCAAAGUCCUACCAAACCCUACCGAACUCCGAAUGCCGGCGAGUAUAGAGCGGCAGACAGACAGUGGGUGCUAAGGUCCAUUGUCGAGAGGGAAACAGCCCAGA
rnacentral:rRNA from 1 species